GGGAGGAGGCUGCUGGGGAGUUUCAGCGCUGGGUGAUUAUUCCAGACUCGGGAGAACGAGUACACUCAGUAGAGAGUAUCCUCCCCAUCAGAGGGCCGGCUCUUUUUGGCUUUUACCCUCCGAGCAUCUCCAGCCCUCACCCCCCACUCCCCUACAUAAUAUGUAUCUUGCACACCCUCCCCUCCCACCCCAUGCACCUCACUUUCUAAACUGCUCCUGGACCUCCAGAUCCUGACCACAGGCUUUCUGCUGGAUGCCUCACCUCAGCCCUCAGACUGUGUGCAGCCUUCACUCUUUGCUUCUCUCCGUGUCCAGAAUCCGGAUCUUGCUUGGGCUGGAGGCUUACUGACCUAAGGAGCAUACAUAAGCCAUGAAUAACCAUAGUCGAAGCUUUUUUUUUUUGUUUUAAGCGUUCUCUGGAUGCCAAGAGCCAUGCUAAGUAUUUCCCGUGCAUCAUCAUUGGAUGUUAAGGUCUGUUCCGUGAGCUCAGACUAUCAUCAGCCCCAUUUUGCCGAAGGAAAUCCGAAACUUAGAUGAACGGCCCAGGGGUCACACAGGCAGAGGAUGAGCUGGGACAGCUGAACCGAGGCUGAAUGGGUCCUAAGUCUGAUGAAUUGCAAGAAAAAGAAAGAAAAUGAAAGAAGAGAUUUCUCCAAAGUCAUGUGGAUUGUAAGAGAGAGAAGGUGCAUCUUACAUCCAAAUCUUCACAGCAUCUCCACCAGGAAACUACUUUCUUUGCUCAUCCAUAAGAAGCAACUCCUCAUCUGUUCAAGUGUGAUCAUGAGAUUCCAGCAAUUCCAUCAUAUCUUCAGGCUCCACUUCUAAUUCUGGUUCUCCUGCUGUUUCCACCACAGCUGCAGUGACUUCUUCCAGUCAAGUCUGGAACCUCCAAUUUGUAAAAAAGGCAAUAUCUUCUAAGUGCAAUAAAAUAAGAUGUGCCUAUAGAACCAA